rnacentral:rRNA from 1 species
AUACGUAUGUCGCAAGCGUUAUCCGGAUUUAUUGGGCGUAAAGCGCGUCUAGGCGGCUUAGUAAGUCUGAUGUGAAAAUGCGGGGCUCAACCCCGUAUUGCGUUGGAAACUGCUAAACUAGAGUACUGGAGAGGUAGGCGGAACUACAAGUGUAGAGGUGAAAUUCGUAGAUAUUUGUAGGAAUGCCGAUGGGGAAGCCAGCCUACUGGACAGAUACUGACGCUAAAGCGCGAAAGCGUGGGUAGCAAACAGGAUUAGAUACCCUGGUAGUCCACGCCGUAAACGAUGAUUACUAGGUGUUGGGGGUCGAACCUCAGCGCCCAAGCUAACGCGAUAAGUAAUCCGCCUGGGGAGUAGGUACGCAAGUAUGAAACUCAAAUGAAUUGACGGGG